GACGAACGCUGGCGGCGUGCUUAACACAUGCAAGUCGAACGGAAAGGCCCUGCUUUUGUGGGGUGCUCGAGUGGCGAACGGGUGAGUAACACGUGAGUGACCUGCCCUUGACUUUGGGAUAACUUCAGGAAACUGGGGCUAAUACCGGAUAGGAGCUCCUGCUGCAUGGUGGGGGUUGGAAAGUUUCGGCGGUUGGGGAUGGACGCGCGGCUUAUCAGCUUGUUGGUGGGGUAGUGGCUUACCAAGGCUUUGACGGGUAGCCGGCCUGAGAGGGUGACCGGCCACAUUGGGACUGAGAUACGGCCCAGACUCCUACGGUAGGCAGCAGUGGGGAAUAUUGCACAAUGGGCGGAAGCCUGAUGCAGCAACGCCGCGUGCGGGAUGACGGCCUGCGGGUUGUAAACCGCUUUCGCCUGUGACGAAGCGUGAGUGACGGUAAUGUGUAAAGAAGCACCGGCUAACUACGUG
rnacentral:rRNA from 1 species